rnacentral:tRNA from 1 species
GAAGAUAUAGCUCAGCAGUAGAGCACAUGCUUAGCAUGCACAAGGUCCGGGGUUCAAUCCCCAGUACCUCCA